rnacentral:misc_RNA from 1 species
UUGAUUUAUUUCUGUGGUGCUCAGAGAGGCCUAUAUAACACUGAUUUUAAAAACCUCCGGCGGGCGCCUUCGCAGGCCACGGCCCCGCCCUGGGGCCGCCCGCCGAAGCAACGUACGGGUAUGUUCACUGGUGUGUGGGAGUCUUGCAACUCGGUAAUGAUCCCUCCGCUGGUUCACCAACGGAGA